AGACAGUAGAUCAAGUUCUU
rnacentral:siRNA from 1 species